ensembl:lncRNA
AGCGGGCAUGGCUUAGUUUCACUGAGUUAGACAAGGCUGUGGUCCUAGUGUGAUUGGAUUGACUAGUUUUCUAUGAGUAUAGUUUCAGUGUGUCUGCCCUCUGAUGCCCUCUUGCAACACCUACCAUCUUACUUGGGUUUCUCUUACCUUGGGUGUGGGGUAUCUCUUCACCGCUGCUCCAGGAAAGCACAGCAGCCGCUGCUCCUUACCUUGGAUGAGGGAAUGCAGACGUGAUAGCGCCAACAGCCCUGUCUUAUACAAUGGGGUAAAUUUAAGGAUGGGAUCUCUGCUCAGAGGAUGACAGGGCAGAAAAAUGCUUGGAGUCAGAAUCUCCAGUGAUGUGGAGACAUCAUGCCAACCCUGGACUGCCAGCCCCUCUGCUAUUUUAUGUAUGGAAAAAAUAAACCCCUGCUUGUUUUAAG